rnacentral:rRNA from 1 species
UACCAGCACCCCGAGUGGUCGGGACGUUUAUUGGGCCGUAAAGCAUCCGUAGCCGGUUCUACAAGUCUUCCGUUAAAUCCACCUGCUUAACAGAUGGGCUGCGGAAGAUACUAUGGAGCUAGGAGGCGGGAGAGGCAAGCGGUACUCGGAUGGGAUAGGGGUAAAAUCCGUUGAUCCAUUGAAGACCACCAGUGGCGAAGGCGG